rnacentral:lncRNA from 1 species
UAUCAAAAGAAACUUCCUAAGCACUAUGCAGGGGGAAGCCAUGACAUUUAUCUGCCACUGUCAGCAAAAACAUGAACUUAGCCCUCAACAGAAUAUUUCACUUCAAUUAUAAAGGUUUAGACUUGGACUUUGUACACUGAAGAAAAGAAAACUGCACGCAUUUAUAUUGAUCAGCCAAAUACAAUUCUCAUUGAAAUCACCUAACUGAAACUGAAAUCACCAUUCUAGGCUGGUUUUCCCAUAACGAUGGACUGCUCCAAAAAGAAGAAUCAAGAAAGAAUUUGUCUCACAGUGAAUUAUUCAAACUUUGUCUUAGUUAACUAAAAAUAAAAUCUGACUGUUAACUACAGAAAUCAUUUCAAAUUCUGUGGUGAUAAUAAAGUAAUGACCGCUUUUCAGCUGGAGGGACUAAC